AAGGAGACAGAUCGGAGUCCCCCCCUACCCCCCCGCAGCCCCAGAGCCUCCCCGGGCCCCUCCCCAGAGACUUUGAUUUCAUCCCCCAAGCCCCGGGCGGGCUGGCAGGUGCGGGGGUGGGAGCCGUCUCCGCCGGAGCCGCUUUGCCAAAGGUCCGGCUGCUGACGUCGGAGCGCCAGCUCCUGUCAAUGAACGGCAGCGGCAGCCUGGGGACUGGCUGGCAACGAGGCUACAGACGUCAUCGCCUCCUGUUGGACGCGGGGGGGUGUCCGAGCCGCAGCUCCGGCUUAAAGGAAAACUCUCCAAGUUCCAGGCAGCCGGGGAGCGCCGUUCCCGACAAGUACAUGCUCCCACAGCCCGGUGCGCGCGGGCACACGGGCGGGCACACUCGCGCACUCGCACACACGCACACUCAGACACGCACGCACCCUCGCACCCGUGUUCCCUGUAGGUGUGCGGUCCAAAGUUGCGGCCGCAAGGAGGGUGAGUUGAGAUGGACCGGUCUUCCUUGGCGCCUGGAGCGCGCUCGACGAGGCUUUCCUGGAGACCCCCAGAAGGACAAGAGGGCAAGAGGAAAGACCCCCUCCGCUUAGAGUUGUCUCCCCGCUUUCCGAGAUGACCAGCGCGAAAUGUGGACUGCCCCAAGCCUUUGGGACGUGCCUGCGGAGCGGAGCCGGAGCGAGUGUUCUUGGAGAGGUCGUGAACUCAGGCCACCUGGGCUCACGGUCAACUUGUUCUGCGCAGUUCUCAAUGGAGCCCCGGACCCACCGGCUCCUGGCUCGCCUGCUUCCCACCCCCUCUUUUUUGCUGCUCCUCUCUCUUUUAAAUGUGUGAAGUUGAAGUGGAAAGCAGAUAGGUGCUUCGUAUACUUUGGCGGGUAAGUGGACUCUUGCGUUUACCUAUUACUUAACCCUUGGGAGUCUGGAAAAACUACAAUCUAACCUUUUCCCUACGUCAAAAAGUUAUCAUCAUUUCCCUCAUCCCUUUGGGCAAUAAGGAAGUGCGUGUGUGUGUGUGUGUGUGUGUGUGUGUGUGUGUGUUGUCUGGGGACAUGACUUUCUUGAGGAAGGGAUGUUGAGGGGAAGUGAUUAAAAAAAAGAGACCCAAGUGGGUAAAACCAGGAGCCUGGAGGGGUGGCAGAGGAGGUGAGGGGGUCCGCAGCCAACUCCAGUGCCUCCAGCCUCGCCCGGCCAGCGCUCCCAGCUCCAAGUUCCGGGGAAGGCUGCCCUCCAGCUGCAAAGGGCCGCGCUGCGAGCCUGGACCCCAGAGGGCCUCGGGAGUCGGCCCCCCACCCUCCUGACUCCUGGGUUCUGGAGGGGGACAAGACCCCCUCCCCUCUCUGCCUCUGGGCUCUGCCGCAGCUCUCCCAGGCCCACCCGCCACCUCCCCACCUCCCCCAGCCCCUUUUGCAAAAGCCCAGAUGAUGUCACGGCCGAGGAGGGGGGUCUGCGCCCCUAGCACCCGAAGGCAUCACUUUUUUGGCAUCCUGCAGCCUCUUCCUUCCUUCCUUCCACCCAGUUCUCCUUGCAGUCCUCUGCAAAUACUUCCUUCCCUACGCCACAGACACCCCCACCCCACUGCCCCUCCCCAGGACCUCAGUCCUUCCCAGGCAGGGCCAGGAGUCCUGGUACCAUGCACCCACCCACCCACCCCCUCCUACAUCAGAAAGAAACCGGCUGAGGGGCCAGGAGCCUCCUCUCCCUGAUUUUGUUGGGUCUCUUUUUCCUCUGGGCUUACCCUUCCAGGGGAAGGAAAGAGAGGAAGGAGAGAGGGAGAGGGGAAGAGAGAGAGAGGCAGGGAGAGAGAGACGGAGAGAGAGAGCACACAGCCCCCUAGACGUAGGUCUGCAGGAACCGCACGUAGGAUCUCAGUGCCUGUCCGCCGGGUCCCUGCCUCCGGCUGCCUUCCUGAUCCUCCGAACAGCCUUCCCUCCUCCGGCAGCCGUCCCCCCAGCCCUCUCCCCGGCUCCCUCCCCCCCAGCUAACCCCACCUUCACUGUCCUCUCCGAGGUUGGGGGGGCGAGGCUGGGGGUGGAGAAAGAGCACCCCAGAGCCCCAGCCCCGGCAGAGAUGUCGAAGAAGCGCAAAGCCCUGGAGGGUGGAGGCGAGCCCCAGCUCCCGGAGGAGGAACCCACGGCCUGGUUUGAGGGCGGCCGCGAGGAGCAAGGUAGGGGGAGGGGGUGAGGCAUGGGAAGGAGCCGGCCGGGGAGGUUUGGGAGUUGAGAACCUCUGCAGGAAUGUUCCAGCCUUCCUCCACAGCAGCUGCCUUGUCGGGGCAACUUGAGUCCACUUUCCCCCCCACCCCACAGAUGGGGUUUUGCAUGUGUCUCUGGGAAAUUGGGGGUGGGCUAGGAUGGAGCUGAUGAGGCCCACACUGAGGACCCACCUUUGCCUGAACUUGGAAACUCUGUGGGGAGGGUGGGGGGUGGAGAGGGGGCAGGAGGAGUUUGGGCCCAAGGUUGCUGGCCAUUCCCCCCUCCCA
ensembl:lncRNA